rnacentral:rRNA from 1 species
GACGAACGCUGGCGGCGUGCUUAACACAUGCAAGUCGAACGAAGUGGCGAACGGGUGAGUAACGCGUAAUCAACCUGCCCUUCAGAGGGGGACAACAGUUGGAAACGACUGCUAAUACCGCAUACUGAAGGAGGGGAUUGCGUCUGAUUAGCUGGUUGGAGUGGUAACGGCCUACCUAGGCGACGAGACCUAGCCGGCCUUGGAGGGUGAUCGGCCAAACUGGGACUGGGACACGGCCCAGAAUCCUACGGGAGGCAGCAGUAGGGAAUCUUCCGCAAUGGACGAAAGUCUGACGGAGCAACGCCGCGUGAGUGAUGACGGCCUUCGGGUUGUAAAGCUCUGUUAAUCGGGACGCGGUACCGGAAUAGAAAGCCACGGCUAACUCCGUGCCAGCCGCCGCGGUAAUAC